AGGGGCUUAGGAUAGUAUAAGUCCACGGACCUUCAAAGUCCUAAGCGGGUGUGAAAAUCACCCAGCCCCUG
rnacentral:tRNA from 1 species